rnacentral:lncRNA from 7 species
CAUCCUUUUUUUCUUUCUCAAUCCUUUCCUUUCUUCUUCCUCCCUACCAGCGCUAUUGGCUUCGUUGGCCAUAUCGUCCAUUGAGACAAUGAGUUAGUCCCCUAAACUUCUACGACUAAGGACAAUAUAAUAUCUCAUAUUUUUUGUUUUCAUGGUGGAUUUGAAGAUUACUCUUAUUUGCUAGGGUUUGAACAAAAAAUAUAUUUGGUUAGAGAUGUAACGAAUUUUGGGUAGAUCGAAUAUAUUAUAUAAUUUUUGUUGAAUUUAGCUGCGUGUAGUUACAUGUGUUCUAUGUCUAGGUUAGUUAUUUAGUUUAAAAUUUGAGUUGGCAUAUUUAUGUUUAUGUUUAAGUUAAAUUUGAUUAGUAUUUUUUGGUUUUAGUUUGUUAGUAAUAGUGUUUAGGUUUAGAUAUAAUUUUAGUUCAAUAAAUUUGUUAGCACAUGUUAUAUGUCUCUAUUAAAUUGAAAUACUUACAUUGUUGUAUAGGAGAAAUAGAUUUGUUCUUUUAGAAUCCAAUGCUUUGGUAGACACAUGUAGGAGGAUAAUUGGCAGAACGAGUUCAUCCCAAAGAUUUAUAUUUUGUUGUAUUUAUUAUGGGUUAGGCCCAUUUAAAUUUGAUAGAUCAAUAAACUCUACGGCCUGUAAUUGUGGACAAUACUAAUAGUAUCAAAUUGGAAUU